UACGGAGGGUGCAAGCGUUAUCCGGAUUCACUGGGUUUAAAGGGUGCGUAGGUGGUCAGGUAAGUCAGUGGUGAAAUCUCCGGGCUUAACCCGGAAACUGCCAUUGAUACUAUCAGUCUUGAAUACCGUGGAGGUAAGCGGAAUAUGUCAUGUAGCGGUGAAAUGCUUAGAUAUGACAUAGAACACCAAUUGCGAAGGCAGCUUACUACCCGAAUAUUGACACUGAGGCACGAAAGCGUGGGGAUCAAACAGG
rnacentral:rRNA from 1 species